GUCCUGAGCCUGUACAGCUUUUUGUGUAUCCUAACUAGUUUUGUUUAAACAUGAAAAAAAAAAAAAUCCAGACUGGAAAAGCUUUGAGGUUUUUGGAAAAUAAAUUGUAACAGAAAAGGAAGGGUUAAGCAGAGAUGCCAACCAGGGAUGUAUUACAGGGAAAAGUAAAAUUAAUUCAGUAAGGUGCUGCCUUUAUUCUAUCAUGGGUUUCAUCUUACAGCUGUUGUCUUUUCACUCCCUCAUUUUUUCAAAAGCUCAGAUUUCCAUGUGAGAGCCCAGGGAGGGCAUCUAAGCAAUUAAUUUCACAUGGUAAAAGCACCUUCCUCUCAAGGUUGUAAAAGCAGAAAUUAGACAUAACACCCUUCUAAGGCAUCUUUCUAAGGCUGGAAAGAAGCAGGUGUUUAGUGUUACAUUAAUUUUAAACCCAUAAUUAGUGUAACUUGAGUCCUGGACCUCAUCCAGUUUAAUUCAUUGUAUUCCUGCAAACGAGACUCCCCUGCUGAUUUUAUGUGAAUGCAGCAGGCCGGGUCUUCAGCUACCCAAGCCUUUCCUUAGGAUGUUUGGGGUGCAGGAAAUGAGGUGUCAGGGAGGUGCCAUAUGGGUUUCUACAUGGCCUCUGCAACAGAGGUGUGGUUGACACAGGCUGUGCUCCAGCUGCUCGCUGGCCAUGAAAAGGAUAUUGGUGGCCCACAGGUGAUGGGUAUAAGAGAGUUGCCUUCAGCUCCUCUUACUGCCCUACAAGACAUAAGAUCAUCAGAAGCUGUUUAAUGAGGUUUUUACUGCAUGCCUUCUUUGUUCUCAACCCAGUGGAUCCCCUUUGGAGUGCUUAUGUUUGAUGGAGGAUUUUUCAUUUCCCACUCUAUCUUGCACAGCUGAGCUGGUGGGGUUGCUCCUGCUGGAAUGGGAGCUAUAGCUGCUGGCAGGGAGGAGGCAUUGCAGCACCUUUUAUUUUCUCUAGUUUGGAGAAAUAAAACACCAGGAUGAGCACUAAAGAAAGCAAGUUGGACUGCUGUAACAAAUGGCAUAAGGGAUUGCUUUUGUUUGCCUUCUUGGAAGCAAAUUGAUAUCACUGGGAAGUACUUCAUGUUGGAAGGUACAAAGCACACUGGCUCAGCCUGGGGUGAGGUGAGGAAGAGGAUGCAAUCAAGCCAUACCUUGACUAGCUGUUGAUAACCACAGAGCUUUUUGAAGUAACUGUUAUUACUUAUGUGUGUGUUUCCUCUGUGGAAAGCUCCGAGCAAUUCCAAGGGGUACUCUUGAGGAGUGGUACCCACCCAGGCACUGGCUGUGGUGUUGUGGCUCUGGCACUGCAGUACAAGAUCACAGCCUAGUUGUGAAGCCAGUCAGUGUGGGUCAAACCUGUCUCUGGUUUUGCUUAGUUGAACCUAAAUAUGAGCUACCUGAUUUAACCCUUGCUUUGUACAGCUGCUUCUUAGCAGAAAAUAUCUGGGACAGGAGCAGAACUAGGGGAGAAUGAGAGGACAAGUGGGAAGGAAAGAAUUUGUGUGUUUCAGGCAGGAUUUUAAUUUAUCUGAGCACUCAAUUGACCAGAAAGAGACAGAAAUGCCAUUGUGCCAAAACCUCUUGGGAGCUCGCCCUCCUUCCGGGAGAAAGCUGUAAGGUCAAAGUGAGGGGAAAUGGAGGCCUGGAGGAGAGUUUCGGAGGGAGAUCGAGGUGCUGGAAUCUGCAGGGUCAUCUGCAGUCAGACACAGCAUAGAAAGUGUGAAGUGCCAUGACUUACCGGCUAUUUACUGAGCUUGGUAGGAUAUGUGCUAGCCCUGUGUGAGCAAUUAGUGCUGAUUAGCAGUUCCCUCUGCUGGCUGAGCUAACGAAGUUAUCCCUUCGGCUCUGCAGGAGUGCUUCUGCUGCUGCUGCAAGGGUGCAUUAGCUUGAGCUGCGUGCUAUCGCCACUCGUGAAUUAGCGACAUAAGGCUGUAGGUACCACAGGGCAACUACGCAACAAAUACAACCGUGGUUCGCUCUUUCACUCUGCUGCCACCGAAGUCUUCUCUGACAUGGCCUGUGAAUGAGAGGCCUCUGCUUCUCUUUAGAUUUUUGUUGUUAAUUUGCCAGGUGCUUUUAGACACAUCUGCUCGCUUCUGCUCUCUGUGGAGGGGGGUAAAUGUUAACUCACCUCUCGCGAACUGCUUUACAAAUGAACAUAAAGAAGGCUAUGAAACUCUUAAGUAGCUGUUUUCACUUCCAGGGUACCUGGCCCAAGCCCAGUGUCUUAGGCAGCCAAAGGCUUUCCACGAGGAGAUUCCUGUGGGUUUCUGUGAAGAACCCACCUCCCCUUGCCACCAGCCCCCACCAUCCAGUCAAGAGACAUCCAAAGGCAAAACCACUGCCUUGUUCCCCCUGCCAGAGAAAUCCUGCUUCACUCCUGCCCCGGCUGAAAGCUGAAAUAUGUGCUUCUUGUGCCGUGGCUCGAACUCCUCAGGAAAACUUCAGUUACAUCCAAAUUAAUAACUGAACGCAAGCAUCCCAGCCUAAGACCAGGCUUACUGUGGGAACGACUGGAUGCUGGCAGCGAGACUGGCUGCCGCGGGAGGUGAGGACGGCCAAGUUAAACAACCGCCGUCUGGUCCCAUGUCCUCCUCCUCCUCCUCCUUGUGAGCAGCAACCCUUCCACUGCUCACCAUGAGGCCGGGAUUGGGGUAUCCUGGUCAUUGGCCCUGCUAGCCAAGAGGUGAGGCAGCGCUUUCCACACCUGGCUGCGCCAGGACUUCAGGAUCUAAGGUGCCCCAGAGACACGGGAUACUCAAUGCACCUGGCUGCGUGUGCUAUAAAGCACUUUCGCUUUCUUGCUCGAAUUUGCAUACAAAAAGACCCAUUAGGCCCCAUCAAAGGAUAUUUAGAUUGCUGGUGCUAAAUUAGCAGAAGCAGGCAGUUUAGUUCUGAGUAGAAAUUGUUUCCUACUUAAAAGUGAAGCGGUGUCAUAGGAAGGUUUCCCUCACCUGUUAAUAACAGUUGUACUGCUUUGCUUGCUGCGUCUUCACCACAAUGUUAAAAGUGAAUUUCUGUAAUGACAGGAGAUUGAGUUUCAGGAAAGGUAAAAUUUCAUGGAGUUUUUCUUUUUCAGUGUUAAGUAUUUUUACAUAAGGUGUUGAGCAUUAUUUAUAAAUGCCUUGUUUCACCAUUACCAAGUGAAAUAAAUUUGGUUUAUGCUACGAAUAAUAUUAACCAACCGAACAAUAAUGGCAACAAAGUUUCAAAUACAAUCACUUCUCUACAAAUCCUUGUCCCCUUUGUGGUUCAAGAUACUGGCUCCAAUGAGGUAAAGACUAGGUCACAGGUAAUUAUUUUCAACUAACUCCUGAUUCACCGAAGCUCAGUCGAGGUUCAAGUCACCCCUUGUUUCAUAUGUUGGGGUGUCUGAACCACGAAUGUGUAAGCCUCCUGGUUUAAAUGGGCUAGGAGGCUUCAUUGCAGGUGAGAAAAGCACCCAAAUGGAGCAGACACAGGUACAAAUAUAUUCUUGACAUGCAUUUCCUCUGGCAUGUACCUGUGCUUUUCGUGCCUUAGUCACAGGGGAAAUUCAGAAGUCCUGGUGUGAAAACUCAGAAGUAUUGGUAUGCAAAUAGAGAAGUGUGACUUAGUAGUCUCACUGCUCCCACUGUUUCACAUGAAAAGUGCCAGUAUUGACAACACAAAUGUGGCAUGCUCUGUAUGCCCUAUCAAGGCAUUUCAACCCCUGAUUGUGUAUUUGGGGUAUGUGGAUGCAUCAAAUCUAAGGUAAGAGAAGCCCUUUUCCUUAAUUAAACAACGUUUAAAUUGGUUGCUUCUUGGGAUUUCCUACUGAAUUAAUUCUUAUGCUGUAAAAGGGAUUUUUCAGCUCCUCGGGUUGAAUGAGAGCUGCCUCUGAGAUGCUUUCUGUCAGAAAAAAUUACCCAAAUGUACACAGGGAGGCUCAGGAGGAAAUAAGCUGGGAAAGAAAAACAUCCUAGGAAAAGGGAUUCAGCAGCAGCAGCAGCAAACCAGAGGUGGCCUAGGAACCCACAAAGUCCAGCUGAAAAUCACUGUGGGGUUUCUGGGACACUGGUAAGGGCCUCACAGAUGUGUUCAGAGUGGUUCUGUCCCAUGCUGGGGACGUGUAGAUCUAAGCACACAAAGAUGCCCGUGCCAACAGGGUGAUGGAGGAAGGUUUGGGUCUGGAAACAGGAGACAAAGGAGAAAGCAGGCAGGUGGGGAGAUGCUCAGCCAAGAAAGAUGAGAGAAGGGAUUCAUAAUAAGGUGCAGUAAGAAACGUGUUGGAUUUCAGACAACGACACAUGCUGUCAAUAAACCUGUGCGUUUUAGAAAGAAAAGGAAUGAAAAAAAUCAUUUUGAAGACCCUAAAAAAGAAUAAAUCUUUUGUAGCAAAGCUGUAUUUAAUUUGGUUAUAAUCCACUGAAUUGAGAUAUAUUUCAGCUUGACUGAAGACUCCUAAGCACGGCUCAUAGGAAACCAGAUCACUUCUGGCAGAGGGAAGAAAAACUGUCUGUUAGAACUAAGUUCUCUCAGCUGGCGUGUUUAUCGCCAGAGAUCAAUGAAAACCAGAGGAUAAAUAAAAGCAGAUUUUGAAAAUGAACCGAUAGACAUUCAGGCACCAAAAAGCAUUUCUUUUUCUGUGUGUCUUACUUUUCUUCACUGGAGAAAAUCAGAUUGAAAUGUGUUUUAUUGACAAGGACGUAUCUUAUUUGCACAUUUGCAAGACCUAUAAACAAGUGGCCCAGUGUCAUGUAGGUCCCAGAUUUGCUGCCCUUUCAGACCUAUUAGUUUGUGGAGACUUGGAUGUGGUGUGUCUUUCAAGGUGGGACACAGUGUUCUGCUUUAACAGGAAGCAUAUGGCCCAGCUUUAACCACAUAGGUGGUUACUUAGAUGGGAAUAAAAUUACCAAGCAGCAUGCUGAUGAUUUUAUAAAAGCUUAACUGUAUUUCCCCAGGGUGCCUUGAUAUUUCUAAGGGAAAGAGAGAGUAAACAGUAUGUUUGUAUUUAAUAACAGAGAUACAGGGGUGAGAGCAUCUUACAUAGGCAUAGCUAUAUUUCUCCCAGAAUCUUAUGCAAUGUAGAAGCAUUUGUGAUUAAUGUCCUUGCACACAUCUUGUGUGCCUUUCUUUGCUUUAGAUUCAAAUGUACUGGAAGAGUUGAGCUUCUAUUCAGUGUCUGCCCCACCUGACCUCUCUCCUCUGUGCUCUUUGCCCUCUAUUAAACAACACAGCAUUUUGUUUCCAUCCCCUGCAAUAUUAUUGCCAUAUGUUGUCUGUCUUCCAUGUCUCCAACUGCUCCCACUUGGCCUUCCUCCCUGAAUUUGAUUCUGGGCUCCCUUUUCCCUUCUUUCUGCCUUUUUCUGUGCCCAUGCUCUGAGUAACACCAUCCCUGUCCCCACCAAAAUGGACAGCCCCUUGAGGUGAUCUUCCUAUGACCCUGCACUGUCUCUGCUUUUUGAGGAAAGCUAAGGAAAUUAACAACACCAGGUUUUCUCUGACACUGCUUUUCCUGCUUUAAUGGAGUUUAUUGAAGGCGUGCACAAGGCUUUUAUUAACUGGUUUCACUAGCUACCUUAAAGAACCCUGCUUUUUUAUGAUGCUGAUAAAAGAAAAGAAAGGGACUAAGCCACCAGGGUGCUGAGACCAGGACAUUGUACACAGAUCAUUAUGAUUUCUUUGGUUCCAUAUAUUUGCCCAUUUAUUGUCCACUCCAUCUGGCCUUAUAUCUGUGCUGUGAACUCUCCAUCCUUUUGUUCUGCAUUUGUGCUGAGUACAAGGGGAUCCACACCCUUGAUUAAGAUGCCAAAGACUUACCAUAACAAAAUAUUUAAGAAGAGUAGUUGAAAUGUAUCUGUUACCAAUAGUUGCUAUGGCUGGAGUAAGACUUUAAUGUAGAAUUCAAACAGGUCUGUAAAUUUUAUUUACAGACUGUUCCUGUGCUUUUUGUAUAUAAACAUGUGCUUUACAGUGAAUUGUUUAUAAUCUAAGUAGCUUUGAAUCUGUAUUUCCUUUAGAGAAACAGCAAAGCAAGAAAAAAUAUGACCAAUAUGGAAAGGUGGAAAGGUGUUUUUGUCAUAUUGACAUUUUGUCACUGUAUUUGAACUAAA